CACAAGGUUCUUUUUAGAACCAAAUAAGAUAAUAUUUGUAAAAAAA
rfam:Sarcophilus harrisii ctg7180001456689, whole genome shotgun sequence.